GACGAACGCUGGCGGCGUGCUUAACACAUGCAAGUCGAGCGGUAAGGCCCUUUCGGGGGUACACGAGCGGCGAAGGGGUGAGUAACACGUGGGUGACCUGCCCUCAGCUCUGGGAUAAGCCUGGGAAACCGGGUCUAAUACUGGAUAUGACUCCAUGACGCAUGUUGUGGGGUGGAAAGCCUUGUGCGGCUGAGGAUGGGCCCGCGGCCUAUCAGCUUGUUGGUGGGGUGANGGCCUACCAAGGCGACGACGGGUAGCCGGCCUGAGAGGGCGACCGGCCACACUGGGACUGAGACACGGCCCAGACUCCUACGGGAGGCAGCAGUGGGGAAUCUUGCGCAAUGGGCGAAAGCCUGACGCAGCGACGCCGCGUGAGGGAUGACGGCCU
rnacentral:rRNA from 1 species